rfam:Zea mays cultivar B73 chromosome 3, whole genome shotgun sequence.
UUGCUAUGAUGAGGCAUAACACCUUUUGAGAGCAGAUUAUUGCUCUAUGAACUUGGGAAAUGUUCAGAUUUCCUCCUGAGCGGUUACCUGAGCAA